rnacentral:lncRNA from 1 species
UUUUGAUUGCUCUCGGUCUUGGGAAUAUCGGCCUCCCUUGUUCGGUCUGAGGAAGGUCGUUUAAGGCUAUUCAUGGCCUCCUCCACCACGAUAUAACCUUCUGCCUUAUCAAAGGCUUCUGCCAAACUCUUCGGAUGGUGAAACAUCAGCUUCUUCACCAAUUUUUCAGACUUUACCAGAUCCAGCCCGUUCUGAAAUAAACCUACAGCCUGCAGAUCGUUGAGGUCCGACACCUGGCCAACUGCUUCCCUGAACCUCUUCACGUACUGAACCAAAGACUCAUCGGUGAAUUGUCGGACCUGUGCCAGAGAACCUGUGGGCUUCCCUCUUCUUCGGUUGCUCCCAAAGCGGGCAUGGAACUUGUCACAAAGCUCGGUCCAAGAGGAAAUUGAAUCUGACGGUAAAGUCCCCAUCCACUGUCUCGUAUCCUUUCUCAACGUGGUGACAAACGUGUGACACUUGGCAGCAUCGGUAAAAUCAUAAUAAUCCAUCAGCCGGUUGAACGUCUGGCUAUGGUCAUAAGGGUCCCCAGACCCAUCGUAACUCUCCAUCCGAGAAAACUUCUUGGUGAUAUCUGCCUUCUCUUUAAGAAUAUCCGAGGAAAAAGGUGACGCCUUCUUUCCCGGAGUGUCCUUCACCUGUUGCACCUCAGCUAAUUGCUUUCUAAGCUCCUUCAAUUCUUUCACCAGAAAAUCCACACCUUCUGGCUGCGAGGACACUUCUCUCUCUUGGAAAAACUUAUGCUCCUGAACAGACUGACCUCUUCUAUCUGACCCUGAUGCCUUUGUUAGACUUCUGGAUCUACUCCGGCGUACAACUCUAUCCUCAUGACGAGAAUACUCACGCUGUUGUUCUCUUCUUCUGGUUUCUGGCACGAUCUCCCUCGACCUGCUCAUUUGCCUGUCGUCGUCUCGAUGCUGAGAACCAACGACCAUCAGUGCCUUCUUCGAGGCCACGGGAGUUCUGCUCCUUGACCUUCUUCUGUCUCGGGAACGAUCCCUAGAUACGUGUACAGAAUGCUCCGGUUCUUUUCCCUCUCGCCGUUGCAUCUCCUUAUGCCUACUUCAUCUUUCGGUCUGAACAUAAGUGAACGCCUCGUCUUUCAGAUCGGCCAUCCGAAGCAUCUGCACAGCUAUAUCUUCCCUUUGCUUUAGUAGAACUUCCAAAGCUUUAUCCGCCUCUUCUGCCAUUUUUUCCAACUUGGCAGCUUUGUCAUCUCGACCACUUCGGUGAUGGGUUUUAGGCGGAGAACCCUCCACUCGCCUGCGAUCUUGGUCUCGACCUUUAUCAUCAGCAAAUUCCAACCUUCGUCUGGCACCACCAUGAGCUCUCAGACGAGAACCCUUGGAAUCAUGAUUGGAAGCAGUGCUUUCACUCUCAUGAGCACUCUUCGAAGGACCCAGACGAUCCUUUACUGAAAUACGAUGCAACGAUGAGCUCACAGCCACCGCUUGCCCCUCUGGCGUAUCAUCUCUACUUCUCACCAUCUUCCGAAGUAUGUUAAAUGAAUGUGAUUGAAAACUCAAUGACACUAGAACUCAGCCCUCCUUCUAGCGCCAAUGUUAACGCCAAGAUCUUUUGCCACGUCCCAAUCAAGUAAGACGUCCUGAUCCUGCACAGUAAACACAGUCAACACCAAAAGCUUGACGGCUGGACCGUCGGGGGAUAGCUCAGGCGUGAGAGUCAGUACAGGCCGUUAUAAGGGUUAACAAUGGAGGAUAAAAUGUCUAGUGUUAGAGAGAUAAGAAUUGUGUGUUGUGUGUAUGCAUACCUUCUCUUGGAGAUUUCCUGGUUAGGUUAUACUCUCUUGCCUGGUUUACCGUGCCACCAACUCUUAUCUGACACAGCCCCCUACCUCUCCCUGAUCUCAGCCGGAUGCAUGCAGGUUGUCACCUUUUUCUCCUAUUGUACAUGUCGCCGGCCGGAUAAAAUCCCAUCCACAUUAAUGAUCUGCAGACUUUUGGUCAACAGCCUUCCUUUUCUAUCAUUACAAGUCAAAGUCUUAGAUAUUAAAAGAUCUAAUGGAUCAACCCAUUGACCCGACCCAAUAUUAAGGAGAUAUAAUGUAAGGAUUAUGUCCAAUAACUUUAAGACCCAAUAAUGGAGAUCCAAUGGACUAAUUAAAUAAAUAAGUCCAAUCCAUAAAGCCCAAUAGGAAAAAUAUCAUUACUCAACAAUAUCCAAAAUUUAUAUAUCAAAAAUAGUAUGUGGCAUUGGACCUCCAAAUACUACUACUUUACCCACAUUAAAAGUUAAUAAUCGAAAAAAUCUCUCUAUAUUGUCGUUUUAUUUAUCAUUAUCCAAACACUACUGCUCUACGAACAUUAAACGGUGCUGAGAAAAAACCUUGUCAUUGUCCCUUUUCUGCAUGAGUGUGUGAUUGAAGGUAAUUUGGGUCUUAUCAUUCAUUGUCUGUUAGAACUUAUGUUAUUAGCUGCUCAUGUUUAACUUGAUUUUUUUUUUUUUUGGUAUUUUGCAAGUCUUGUGGUACUGUCCAAAGAGUAUGGAUUUUUUCAACUUUUAUAAUCAUGUUUUGGGUAUUAAUGAAUUUCAUUUUAUUGAUAAAAAAGAAAAAUAAAAUUUUUCACUCAAAUUAGUCACAUGCGGAUCACAUUAUUGAAUUACAGGUUUAAACAUAUAUUUAUAUAUAAGCAAUAACUCUCUUGACUUUUUAAAAAUAUAUUUGAGUCAUUUUUUGUUGUUGUCCAUGUUAGUGUACGAAAAACUACUUAAUAGAUUUAAAAUUAAUAUUAAAAAAUUACAAUUAACUCCUACUUCUAUACCACGAAGACAAAGGCAACCAAGUGGAAUAGGCGGGUAAUUUAAUUAACCUAAUUGGCUUUAUGUGUUAAAGCUAAUUAGGUUUCACAAAAACAAUGGAGUAGCAGCUUCUGUGACAGGUGACCAUACAAUGGAUAUUUUUCAACAUGUUUCACCAGCGGAAUCAGAACGUUUUUAAAGGGGGUCAAAAUAUAUUAGUAAUUUUUUUUUUUAUUGAUGCUUGGAAUGCUUAUUUCGACUGUACGACUGAGAUGAUACAACUGUAUCCUGCGACUCUGUAUAGUUUGAAAACGUCUCAAAUUUUUUGGUCAAUAUCAAAAUUUAUGUAGAAAUAUUAAUUUUUUAUAUGAAAAUAUCAAUUUUCUAUAUAGAACAAAGAAAAUUAAUAAAGAAAGAAAGAAAUCAACAAACGGGAGAGUCUCUGAAGUAAAUUAAAGAUGUUUAAAAAUAAAUAUAAAAUGUUUGUAGAAAAUAAUUUAGUAAAUAAAGAACUUGAUUUUUGUGAUCAUUCUUAAUCUCAAGUAACGACCUAGAUUUGAUUGUAUUUUAAGUUCUUUUAUUUGAAUUUCAUUGCAAAAUAAAAUUUAUUUUAUUUUUUAAUUUAUGGAACGCAUGUAAAAAAUUUUAGACCGUCAUUAUAAACUACUAUUAUUAUACAUAUAUAUAUAUAUAUAUAUAUAUAUAUAUAUAUAUAUUGACUAUUAAUAUAUAGUAUGUGUAGAAUUUUGGUGGGGUCAUAUGACCCCCUGGUCCCCCGGGCCCCGCCCAUGUUUCCAUGCCAGAAAGCUUUACGGAUAAAUUAACACAAAAAAAUAUAAAUAAAAAUAUUUUAUCAGUUUUUUCUUAUUAUAAUUAAAAAAGAACUGGAGACUAUAAAAGGGUAUGCAUGGAAGUCUAGAGAUCACAGAAAUCACACACUUCAUUUCUUAAGAAAAAAGUUGUUGAAGUUUGAAGAGAUCAUGAGGGCAAUAUAUAUUAUCAGCGUCAUUAUAGUUAGCUUGAGCAUUUUCUCUUGGGGUGGGAAUGCUCGAUCAGAUUAUCCAUGGGCAAUGUUUGCCCUAAGGCUUCAAUGGCCAGCUGGAUUUUGCGAGGUCAACAAUGCCUGUGAUACAAAGUCUCUCCUCAACACAUUUACCAUUCACGGCCUUUAUCCCUAUAACGCGAAGGGGACCCCAGCGUUAUAUUGUGACGGAACUGCCUUUGAUGUUAACUCUGUGAGUUCGAUCUCUCAGUCUGCAUUUAAUUUACUUCUUAAAAUCCUUGCUCUAUUGUCUAUUAAAUAUGUUUUUUUGUGGUAACAUUUAUAUAUAUAUAUUGAAGAGUUGGAUAUGUUUGUUUGAUAAAAAAAAAUGAAAUUGUACAUGCAAUAUAUACAUACAUACUCACAUAUGUUAAACUAAUUUCUCUCCUCCUUUAUUUUGAAAAUUAACAGGUAUCGGACUUUCUAGCAGAAAUGCAUCUUGCAUGGCCGAGUCAUGAAACUAACACUGAGGACAUACAAUUCUGGGAACACGAGUGGAAGAAACAUGGAAGGUGUUCAGAAGCUUUGUUGAAGCAGACUGAUUAUUUUAGAACGGCGCUUGCUUUUAGAAAAGCAUUUGAUAUAGUUGGGCUACUAAACCAGGAAGGUAAACAUACCCAUUGAUAUAUAAUUAAAUAGUCUUUAAUUUAGAUUUUGUGGAUGAUUAAUUGAUAAUGUGAGUUUGAUGAUAUUACUAUUCAAAAAUGUCUAGGGAUUUACCCGAAUAACGACCUUUAUCGUCCUAAAAUGAUAAAAGAAGCAAUCAAAAAGCACUUGAAUGCUGUGCCAGAAAUCGAUUUCACCAAAAACGAAAACUCAGAAUAUGUGCUUACGGAUAUUAAUGUAUGCGUGAACCAACAAGCAACAAGGUUCGUAGAUUGCCCUACCGAUGACGCUACUGAUGACUACCGCCUCAAAUUCGUAAGACUGCCUUCUAAAAUGAAAUUUGCGGAUCCGAGGACCAAUUCUAUAAUAUAGCACAAAUGAUACGGCUACAAAAUGGACUACUAUCUUGUUUAAUUAAUGCUUUUGGUAGUAUUAUCUAUGUAAAUUAGUUAUGAGUGCUAGGGUUGGCUAAUUAGUACUAUGAGGCCAACCUUUAGUAUCUUGAAUAAUGUCCAUGUAGCAAAAGUUUAUGGCACUCUGGCCUUGGUGUGUAUGGAUAAUUAUAGUAAAUAACUACUUUUAUCUGCAAAAAAAAACAACCAAGUAUUUUCUUUUGUUUUUAUUUUUGAUAAGAAUUUAAUUUUAUGUAGUUUGAUGGCAUAGCUUAUCUAGGAAACUGAUAUUUCUAUAUGUUAAAAUGAUAUUUUUCAAAUGAG